rnacentral:rRNA from 1 species
CCUACGGGUGGCAGCAGUGGGGAAUAUUGGACAAUGGGCGCAAGCCUGAUCCAGCAAUGCCGCGUGAGUGAUGAAGGCCUAGGGUUGUAAAGCUCUUUUACCCGGGAGACUGUACCGGGAGAAUAAGCCCCGGCUAACUCCGUGCCAGCAGCCGCGGUAAUACGGAGGGGGCUAGCGUUGUUCGGAAUUACUGGGCGUAAAGCGUACGUAGGCGGUUUGUAAGUUAGAGGUGAAAGCCCGGGGCUCAACCCCGGAAUUGCCUUUAAGACUGCAUCUUGAAUCGCGGAGAGGUAGUGGAAUUCCGAGUGUAGAGGUGAAAUUCGUAGAUAUUCGGAAGAACACCAGUGGCGAAGGCGGCUCACUGGCGGUAUUGACGCUGAGGUACGAAAGCGUGGGGAGCAAACAGGAUUAGAUACCCUUGUAGUC